rnacentral:rRNA from 1 species
CAAAACAUGGGAUUAGAUACCCGUCUAUUCAUGAUAUAAAUACUAUAGUCGAAUAUUACGAACAGUAGUUUAAAAUUCAAAGAUUUUGGCGGUGUCUUAUAUAACCAGGGGAACCUGUCUCAUAACUCGAUAAUCCACGAUUACCCAACCUUCUCUAGAUAUUCAGCUUGUGUACUGCCGUUGUAAGCAUACCUUUAAAAGAUUAAGUGUGCUACUAUGAUUAAUUAUAGUUUAAUUCAUAUACAUCAGGUCAAAGUGCAGUCAAUAAGAAGGUGAUGAUGGGUUACAACCUAAAAAAGGAUAUGAACUAAAAUAUAAAAAAUUUUUAUAAAAGUGGACUUGGUUGUAAUUAACCAAUAUAAUAGAAAAAUGAAUAUCCCUCUAAGACAUGUACACAUCGCCCUCACUCACCACAAU